rnacentral:lncRNA from 1 species
AACUCUAUACAACAUAUGCUAUACUUAGAUAUGUAUUUGCUCACAAAACUUUUACCCAACUCUAUACAACAUAUGCUACCAAAAUUUGAUCAUCGCAUAACAAUCUACCAUCUUCUUAUUAUAUUUUAAUUUAGUAAUUGCACGUAUAAAUUUAUUAUUAACAAAAUGAAUAAUUCCGCUGCAACGCGCGGGUUUAUAUCUAGUAU